GGGGAAUAUUGGGCAAUGGGCGCAAGCCUGACCCAGCAACGCCGCGUGAAGGAAGAAGGCUUUCGGGUUGUAAACUUCUUUUAUGAGGGACGAAAAAAAUGACGGUACCUCAUGAAUAAGCCACGGCUAACUACGUGCCAGCAGCCGCGGUAAUACGUAGGUGGCAAGCGUUAUCCGGAUUUACUGGGUGUAAAGGGCGUGUAGGCGGGACUGUAAGUCAGGCGUGAAAAUUAUGGGCUCAACCCAUAACCUGCGUUUGAAACUAUAGUUCUUGAGUGUCGGAGAGGCAAUCGGAAUUCCGUGUGUAGCGGUGAAAUGCGUAGAUAUACGGAGGAACACCAGUGGCGAAGGCGGAUUGCUGGACGAUAACUGACGCUGAGGCGCGAAAGCGUGGGGAGCAAACA
rnacentral:rRNA from 1 species